rnacentral:lncRNA from 1 species
UGUAUGAUUAUUUUAGGUACAAUAUAAGGGAAUCCCAAUGAAUGGAUAUCCCCUGGGAAGCAGUAGAAGAAGGUCCAGGAAGCUCUUUAUGUCUGAAGUUAUAGUUAUAGUGUUAUAAGUUAUUAUAAUGUGUGAUGAAAAAUGAACCAACCAAAUAAGUGAAGAUCAGCAGGGAGAGUGCAUAUCAGGAACAUAAAUUAUCCAUUUUAAUCUACAUAAAACAGAACCUGUUUAUCAUGGUCUUACUAAGUGGAAUUUACAUCCCAAAGAUAGCUGAAAGAUCAUCGCGAGAGUUCACCCAAACCUGAAACCAAACAAGAUACUGAUUGAAAUACUGAAAUAGACGGAGCAUAUUAUGUUGCUGGGGAGAAGAAGAGACCUAUUUUUAUGGCGGUAAAAGAGAUUCCUUAAAUGGAGGCGCUAGGAUAUUCCUAGUGCAAUACAUAGACAGGAGAAUAUUGUAAAAAGUAGCAGACUAGGAAGUUAAAGAAUAAAGGAGCCCAAGAAUAUAGUGCUGAAAACAAGGGCAAUUAAUUGAUACUUUUAAUCAGUUAGACCUAAGGGGAAAUUAAAAUACCUGGAACAUCAAGUCAGUUGGUGCUAAUAAAAAAGAAGAAGUCUUAAGAUAUUCCUGCAUGUGAACAGCAAGAACCAAGAAGAUUAUGCCACAGAAGACAAAAACAUUUAUUGAAGUGAAGGAAUAGGCGUGGAAGUACAUCAGAGCAAUAAUAAAAGUGAUCAAUAAAAGGAGGCGACCGGAACUUUAGGCAAUUUUAUUGUGAAAGUAUCAGCGUCGGACCCCUUGCAUUGGGGGUGCAGGCACGUACAAGGUCGAGGAAAACUAAUUUGUCCCAAACCGGGCCGAAAGUUAGGGAGUGACAUGCCCGCCUGGACAACAACAAGAAGAAAGUCAAACUGGUUAUGCGAGUAGUUAUAGUUGCACACGUACACGGAAGGGGUCUUGGACUGCCGGAAACUUUCCGGCAAAUCAUUAAAUUAGGCUCCGGAUCGUUUCCAGAUUCCAGAUUUUCUUGGACCUGACUUCCUUGUCCCCCUUUUAGAUGGUAUUAAGAUGGACUAGCGGCAUUCGUUUCAUGUUAAUAUGAACAACACGUUUUAGGGCUCCAGGGUUCCCGUUAAUUCGUCAGUAUUUUUGUUACCUGAUAGUGUUUAAAUUAAAUGAAUUGGAUAAUUGAUGAA